rnacentral:rRNA from 1 species
GAUGAACGCUGGCGGCGUGCCUAAUACAUGCAAGUCGAGCGAACAGACGAGGAGCUUGCUUCUCUGACGUUAGCGGCGGACGGGUGAGUAACACGUGGAUAACCUACCUAUAAGACUGGGAUAACUUCGGGAAACCGGAGCUAAUACCGGAUAAUAUAUUGAACCGCAUGGUUCAAUAGUGAAAGACGGUUUUGCUGUCACUUAUAGAUGGAUCCGCGCCGCAUUAGCUAGUUGGUAAGGUAACGGCUUACCAAGGCAACGAUGCGUAGCCGACCUGAGAGGGUGAUCGGCCACACUGGAACUGAGACACGGUCCAGACUCCUACGGGAGGCAGCAGUAGGGAAUCUUCCGCAAUGGGCGAAAGCCUGACGGAGCAACGCCGCGUGAGUGAUGAAGGUCUUCGGAUCCUAAAACUCUGUUAUUAGGGAAGAACAAAUGUGUAAGUAACUAUGCACGUCUUGACGGUACCUAAUCAGAAAGCCACGGCUAACUACGUG